CCUACGGGAGGCAGCAGUGGGGAAUCUUGCACAAUGGGCGAGAGCCUGAUGCAGCGACGCCGCGUGCGGGACGAAGGCCCUCGGGUUGUAAACCGCUUUCAGCAGGGACGAAGCGAAAGUGACGGUACCUGCAGAAGAAGGUCCGGCCAACUACGUGCCAGCAGCCGCGGUAAU
rnacentral:rRNA from 1 species